rfam:Eubacterium brachy ATCC 33089 genomic scaffold Scaffold204, whole genome shotgun sequence.
GGUAUGAAGUAGAAAUUAUCCGUUUCUCACCUUACAGCGAGAGCUCGUUUGGUUAUUUGAUUGUGUAUAUUACAUAUUUAAGGCGGGUAAUUUGAAUUAUCCGCUUUUUUAUUGUUGC